rnacentral:rRNA from 1 species
GACGAACGCUGGCGGCGUGCUUAACACAUGCAAGUCGAACGGAAAGGCCCUGCUUUUGUGGGGUGCUCGAGUGGCGAACGGGUGAGUAACACGUGAGUAACCUGCCCUUGACUUUGGGAUAACUUCAGGAAACUGGGGCUAAUACCGGAUAGGAGCUCCUGCUGCAUGGUGGGGGUUGGAAAGUUUCGGCGGUUGGGGAUGGACUCGCGGCUUAUCAGCUUGUUGGUGGGGUAGUGGCUUACCAAGGCUUUGACUGGUAGCCGGCCUGAGAGGGUGACCGGCCACAUUGGGACUGAGAUACGGCCCAGACUCCUACGGGAGGCAGCAGUGGGGAAUAUUGCACAAUGGGCGGAAGCCUGAUGCAGCAACGCCGCGUUCGGGAUGACGGCCUUCGGGUUGUAAACCGCUUUCGCCUGUGACGAAGCGUGAGUGACGGUAAUGGGUAAAGAAGCACCGGCUAACUACGUG